UACGGAGGAUUCGAGCGUUAUCCGGAUUUACUGGGUUUAAAGGGUGCGUAGGUGGAAUGUCAAGUCAGUGGUGAAAACCUGCAGCUUAACUGUAGAACUGCCAUUGAUACUGUCAUUCUUGAGUGUAUUUGAUGUAUGUGGAAUGUGUCAUGUAGCGGUGAAAUGCUUAGAUAUGACACAGAACACCCAUUGCGAAGGCAGCAUACAAAACUACAACUGACACUGAGGCACGAAAGCGUGGGGAGCAAACAGG
rnacentral:rRNA from 1 species